rnacentral:rRNA from 1 species
GUGCCAGCCGCCGCGGUAAUACGGAGGGUGCAAGCGUUAUCCGGAUUUACUGGGUUUAAAGGGUGCGUAGGUGGGUCUGUAAGUCAGUGGUGAAAUCUCCGGGCUUAACCCGGAAACUGCCAUUGAUACUAUAGGUCUUGAAUACUCUGGAGGUAAGCGGAAUAUGUCAUGUAGCGGUGAAAUGCUUAGAUAUGACAUAGAACACCAAUUGCGAAGGCAGCUUACUACGGGGUCAUUGACACUGAGGCACGAAAGCGUGGGGAUCAAACAGGAUUAGAUACCCCAGUAGUCC